rnacentral:lncRNA from 1 species
CAGUUAUACAGCUGCUAUGGGGCAGCAGUGGGGCAGCAGUGGGGCAGCAGUGGGGCAGCUAUAGGGCAGUUAUGGGGCAGCUAUAGGGCAGCUAUAGGGCAGCAGUGGGGCAGCUAUAGGGCAGCUGUGGGGCAGCUAUGGGGCAGCUAUAGGGCAGCUAUGGGGCAGCUAUAGGGCCGCUAUGGGGCAGCUAUAGGGCAGCAGUGGGGCAGCAGUGCGGCUGUUGCGCAGGCGUUCCGGCAGCUGUCGCACCGCUUCCAUGGCAAAGGCUCGGGGAAGAUGAAGACGGAGCGGCGCAUGAAGAAACUGGACGAGGAGGCGGUGAGUUUGGGGCCGGAAACGGCGAUUUUGGGCAAAGGGGGACUGGGGGAAAUGUGUGGGGCUGAGCCCCAUAGCUGUGGGUCUGGGGGUCCUGCUGUGGGUCUGGCCCCACACGUGUGGGUCUGGGGUCCCGCUAUGGGUCUGGCCCCACACGUGUGGGUCUGGGGGUCCUGCUAUGGGUUUGGGGUCCUGCUAUGGGUCUGGGGUCCCGCUGUGGGUCUGGCCCCACACGUGUAGGUCUGGAGGUCCCACUAUGGGUCUGGCCCCACACGUGUGGGUCUGGGGGUCCCGCUGUGGGUCUGGCCCCACA